GCUAUGGAGUAUGAUAUCAAACGUUAGUAGUCCGAGUGUAAACGAGGAUGAGAACGCAUACGAUGAAAUAGCAA
rnacentral:sRNA from 12 species